UGGGGAAUUUUGGACAAUGGGGGAAACCCUGAUCCAGCCAUCCCGCGUGUGCGAUGAAGGCCUUCGGGUUGUAAAGCACUUUUGGCAGGAAAGAAACGUCAUGGGUUAAUACCCCGUGAAACUGACGGUACCUGCAGAAUAAGCACCGGCUAACUACGUGCCAGCAGCCGCGGUAAUACGUAGGGUGCAAGCGUUAAUCGGAAUUACUGGGCGUAAAGCGUGCGCAGGCGGUUCGGAAAGAAAGAUGUGAAAUCCCAGAGCUCAACUUUGGAACUGCAUUUUUAACUACCGGGCUAGAGUGUGUCAGAGGGAGGUGGAAUUCCGCGUGUAGCAGUGAAAUGCGUAGAUAUGCGGAGGAACACCGAUGGCGAAGGCAGCCUCCUGGGAUAACACUGACGCUCAUGCACGAAAGCGUGGGGGGCAAACAGG
rnacentral:rRNA from 1 species